rnacentral:lncRNA from 1 species
AGCAGAUACAGCAAACAUAUGUACAUGAAUGCAAUUAGGCAAAUAAGUAACUGUACAAAAGAAUGAACACUCAAUAAACAAGAAAACACACAAGCUAGGAGGGACUCGCUUAGGGAAGAUGGACCAAAGAUACAGCAAACAUAUGUACAUGAAUGCAAUUAGGCAAAUAAGUAACUGUACAAAAGAAUGAACACUCAAUAAACAAGAAAACACACAAGCUAGGAGGGACUCGCUUAGGGAAGAUGGACC